GGCAGUACCAGGUUAGAACCAAGAGGCAGGAGUCGGGAUCAGAGUCAGGCCGGGGUCAGAGACCAGAGAUCAGGGCAGUACCGGGUUAGAACCAAGAGGCAGGAGUCGGGGUCAGAGUCAGGCUGGGGUCAGAGACCAGAGAUCGGGGCAGUACCGGGUUAGAACCGAGAGGCAGGAGUCGGGGUCGGGGUCAGUGUCAGGCCGGGGUCAGAGACCAGAGAUCAGGGCAGUACCAGGUUAGAACCGAGAGGCAGGAGUCGGGGUCAGAGUCAGGCUGGGGUCAGAGACCAGAGAUCGGGGCAUUACCAGGUUAGAACCGAGAGGCAGGAGUCGGGGUCAGAGUCAGGCUGGGGUCAGAGACCAGAGAUCGGAGCAGUACUGGGUUAGAACCGAGAGGCAGAAGUCGGGGUCAGAGUCAGGCCGGGGUCAGAGACCAGAGAUCGGGGCAUUACCGGGUUAGAACCAAGAGGCAGGAGUCGGGAUCAGAGUCAGGCUGGGGUCAGAGACCAGAGAUCGGGGCAGUACCAGGUUAGAACCGAGAGGCAGGAGUCGGGGUCAGAGUCAGGCUGGGGUCAGAGACCAGAGAUCUGGGCAGUACCAGGUUAAAACCGAGAGGCAGGAGUCGGGGUCAGAGUCAGGCCGGGGUCAGAGACCAGAGAUCAGGCAGCACUGGGUUAGAACCAAGAGGCAGGAGUCGGAGUCAGAGUCAGGCCGAAGUCAGAGACCAGAGAUCAGGCAGCACUGCGUUAGAACCAAGAGGCAGGAGUCGGGGUCAGAGUCAGGUUGGGGUCAGAGACCAGAGAUCAGAGGUAGUACUCCACUCAGAUGAAACUUUGUGGGAAAGGGUGACCCUAAGUGAUCCCAGUGCCAGACGGCAAGGGGCUCCCCCAGAUCAGCUGAGGAGACCAGCUCCAUGCACCCCAGCUCACUGUGCCUCUAACCUGUAUCUACCAGGUCUCAUGUCAUAUGUCACUGGGAAACU